UUAUGUGGAAAUUGGACUAUGUAAUUAUGGAGCAGGAGGAGGAGGAGGAAGAGGAGGAGGAGGAGGAGGAGGAGGUGGUGUAGUCUGGUAUCUUCUUAUCUUCCUCUCUUCUUCUUCUUCUUCUUCCUCUUCCUUCCUUCCAUUCUUUAUUUCUUCCUCCUUUUCCUCUUUCUUUCAAUAUACUUCUAAGGAGGAAGAGGAGGAGGAGGAAGAAGAGGAGGAGGAGGAGGAGGAGGAGGAGGAGGAGGAGGUAUCUUCAUUCCUUCAUUCCACCUCCAUCUCUCUCUCUCUCUCUCUCUCUCUCUCUCUCUCUCUCUCUCUCUCUCUCUCUCUCUCUCUCUCUCUCUCUCU